rnacentral:rRNA from 1 species
AGUGAACGCUGGCGGCAGGCCUAAUACAUGCAAGUCGAACGGCAGCACAGCAGAGCUUGCUCUGUGGGUGGCGAGUGGGCGGACGGGUGAGGAAUACGUGGGAAUCUGCCCAGUCGUGGGGAUAACGUAGGGAAACUUACGCUAAUACCGCAUGCGCCCUUCGGGGGAAAGCCGGGGACCUUCGGGCCUGGCGCGAUUGGAUGAGCCCACGUCGGAUUAGCUAGUUGGCGGGUAAAGGCCCACCAAGGCGACGAUCCGUAGCUGGUCUGAGAGGAUGAUCAGCCACACUGGAACUGAGACACGGUCCAGACUCCUACGGGAGGCAGCAGUAGGGAAUAUUGGACAAUGGGCGCAAGCCUGAUCCAGCCAUGCCGCGUGAGUGAAGAAGGCCCUCGGGUGUAAAGCUCUUUUGUCCGGAAAGAAAAGCGCCGGGUUAAUACCCUGGUGUCCUGACGGUACCGGAAGAAUAAGCACCGGCUAACUUCGUGCCAGCAGCCGC